CGCGACCCCAGGUCAGGCGGGACCACCCGCUGAGUUUAAGCAUAUCAAUAA
rnacentral:rRNA from 1 species